GCGCCCAUAGCUCAACUGGACAGAGCGGUGGCCUCCGGAGCCGCAGGUUAGGGGUUCGAAUCCCCUUGGGCGCGC
rnacentral:tRNA from 1 species